rnacentral:rRNA from 1 species
GAUGAACGCUGGCGGCGUGCCUAAUACAUGCAAGUCGAGCGAACGGACGAGAAGCUUGUUUCUCUGAUGUUAGCGGCGGACGGGUGAGUAACACGUGGAUAACCUACCUAUAAGACUGGGAUAACUUCGGGAAACCGGAGCUAAUACCGGAUAAUAUUUUGAACCGCAUGGUUCAAAAGUGAAAGACGGUCUUGCUGUCACUUAUAGAUGGAUCCGCGCUGCAUUAGCUAGUUGGUAAGGUAACGGCUUACCAAGGCAACGAUGCAUAGCCGACCUGAGAGGGUGAUCGGCCACACUGGAACUGAGAAAAGGUCCAAACUCCUACGGGAGGCAGCAGGAGGGAAUCUUCCGCAAUGGGCGAAAGCCUGACGGAGCAAAGCCGCGUGAGUGAUGAAGGUCUUCGGAUCGUAAAACUCUGGUAAUAGGGAAGAACAUAUGUGUAAGUAACUGUGCACAUCUUGACGGUACCUAAUCAGAAAGCCACGGCUAGCUACGUG